GCACGGCACCCGUUGCGGAAUGUUGCUUCACAAACGCCUUGUUCUUGCGUUACAGAUAUGAAGUGGCUCGCCGCAGUAAGCUUCAUCUACCUGACUUUGCCACUAUUAGCAAGAGGUGCACCGAACCAGUCGGAAGUGCCGUCAUGCGCUCGGCAAGCAGGGAGGGGGUUUUCAUCUAGAGAUCGAAGCUGUGUCCGACGGCAGAUGCAGCUUGCCUACCAGGGCUCCCCAAGUGCAAGGUACGCCCACUGCAGAGGGAAUUAUAAUGCUGUCAUGACGUGCGGAGCUUCUACUAAGCCACUGGCAGCGAAUAUCAGCAACUGCCUCGAAAUCCACGUGACUGGUCGGGAGAAGAGGGCCUUUCGCCAAGCAGGAGAAGCAGGACGCCGCGGCGGAAAUGGUAGGAUUUGUGAUCGCUAUCGGCAACGGGGAGGAGGAAGACGGGAGUAGACGAAACGUCGAGAGUCAGGAGAUCCGGCAUUGAGCCUCGUGCUUUCGGUCGCACAGGCUUUGAUCACCUCAUACUCCAUAACGUCAGGCGACACUGAUUUGUAAUGUUAAAUGUCUUUAAUGGAGUCUUGUUUGUCAGGAAAUAAAUCGGUUUAUUUUC